rnacentral:rRNA from 1 species
UACGUAGGGUGCGAGCGUUACUCGGAAUUACUGGGCGUAAAGCGUGCGCAGGCGGUGAGCUGUGUCCGAUGUGAAAGCCCCGGGCUUAACCUGGGAAUGGCAUUGGAAACUGGCUCGCUGGAGUGUGGCAGAGGGGGGUGGAAUUCCGCGUGUAGCAGUGAAAUGCGUAGAGAUGCGGAGGAACACCGAUGGCGAAGGCAGCACUCUGGGACGUGACUGACGCUGAGACGCGAAAGCGUGGGGAGCAAACAGG